GCUGUUUCAGCACAAGCUUCCAAAAACACUCGCGAUGCUUCUCGUCUCCAAUUUCGCACAUUCGACUUCAUUUGAGCGACACAACAACCCCGCGCGAGUCAAAUCGUGUCGCUCACUGAUGAGGAACGCCAAAGUGACGUCAUCCGCAUUCGUCGAGAGGCGCGUCUUCUGGUUUGCUGUCAUUUGCCGUUCGGCCGUGGAGGAGGAGUCGGAGCAAAACAUGGCGAAGCUGAACUUGUGUGUCUUGUUUGUCGCGGCUGCGCAAAUCCACAGCGUGACGCCCGUGCUUCACACGCUCAAGUAUUUAAUGACAGCAUCGUCUCAAAUUCCAAACAUCCCAGACUACUUUGAGGUCGGUUAUGUUGACGACGUUCCGAUUUCGCGCUACGACAGCAAGAGCAGGAAAGCAAAACCCAAACAGGACUGGAUGAACAAAAUCACAGCAGAUGAUCCUCACUACUGGGAGAGACAGACACAGAACGGUAUUGCUCGUGAGCAGAUCAACAAAGUCAACAUCGAAACUGCCAAAGAGCGCUUCAACCAAACUGGAGGUGUUCACAUGUUCCAGGUGAUGUCCGGCUGCGAAUGGGACGACGAGACCGAUGAGGUUGAUGGUUGGGAACACUACAGUUACGAUGGAGAAGCCUUCAUCUCGUUGGAGGUGAAGACAAUGAGAUGGAUCGCAGCUCACCCACAAGCUUUCGUCACCAAACUCAAGUGGGACCGGAACGAACUUUGGAAUCUAAACAAGAAGCACUACUUCACUGAGAUUUGUCCUUCUUACUUGAAGAAGUAUUUGACCAAUGGGAGGGACUUCCUGAUGAGAACAGAGCUUCCCACGGUGUCUCUCCUCCAGAAGACGCCGUCCUCUCCGGUCACCUGCCACGCGACGGGUUUCUACCCCAGCGCGGCCGCCCUGUUUUGGAGGAAUGACGGCGAGGAGCUCCACGAGGACACGGAGACGGGAGAGACCCUCCGCAACCACGACGGAACCUUCCAGAUGACGGCCGACCUGAAAGCGGAGGUGACCGAUGAAGCCGAGGGCCGCUACGAAUGCGUGUUCCAGCUGUCCGGCGUGGCGGACGACAUCGUUGUCAAGCUGGAGAGAAGAAGCAUCCGGAGCAACGCGCGCAUCCGAGAGGAAGAAAAGAGGAAGAUGGCGCUGGCCGUCGCUGUCCCGCUGGCGGUCCUCGCUCUGGCGGCGGCGGCGGUCGCGGUCCUCGUCAAGCUUUACAAAAGCAGACGCUAUCGUUGUGGGAAAAAGGACUCGCUCCCUAAGGCGGAGAAAACCUGAAACCGAAUGGAAGUCAAUUUAGAUUUGGUGGAAAAUGUACGACUUAGUUCACUCGUGUUCCUUGGCCCUCAACGGCGAAGCGUGCCAAAGCCGCACUCGGGUUCAUUCGAUUGAAGCUCCUCCCCUCGCUUCGACAAAGUUCCUCGGCCCCGAGAUGCCACCGGGUGGCGCCAAACCUCUAUUUUAAUAUUAGAUAUGGUUUUGGGCUGAGCGCAAAGACAGCGAAUAACAGAAGCUAGCUUCCCCUCAAUCAAUAUUCCCCAACAUCCGAAUUCCUGAAUGUGGAAUUGGAAAUAUGCGGCUAUGAACUGUACGAUUCCAAAGAAAUUCCCCACCACACUCUCGUAGUCAGGAAGUAGAAGAUUUGUCCCAACCGCAGCUCAAAGUACGAGUGAAGAUGGAUUCAAGAGGCCUUCGUGGAGCAAAUGUCCUUCCUUCCAGUCGGACAUGUUUUCAUUCACAUCUUUUUUUUCAUUCAUCGCAGCCGUCGACGCCGAUUCCGAGCCCGCCUCCGAGCCCGCCGCCCCGACGCCCGCUUCCGAGUGAGACGCAGCCGCCGUCGCACGGUGUCGGAACACGAGAGAGACGUCUCCAUCGAGCGCUUUCUCAUCACGCUUGGGUUUGAAAACAGAG